AUCCCAGCUGGUUUUAGCUGGAAUUUUCAGCAGGGCCAUGCAUACCAGGAAAAUAUACUAAUCAAUUCAUUACAUUACAGGCAUUUAGCAGACGCUCUUAUCCAGAGCGACGUACAACAAGUGCAUCAGAUCAGGAAUGCCAGUUGACAUGGUUCCCCCUCUUUAAAUUUCACCAUCGUAACUAUGCAAUCUGCAUGUUCAAAUUACCAAACCACCAACUGCGCAGCGUUGUUGUGCAUAAACGGAAACCCCACGCUGUUAUGGUCGGCUGAGGAGUGAUAGAACAUGACGGAAAUUUCCCCUGGCUACUGCUCGCUAGAUUGCGCCGUUAGUUUCAAACAGAGGUGAGAUGAGUGGACAAUGCUGACCAGAGACGCGGCGCAUGUCUUCGCUGGCAGCAUCAGAGGGGGGAUGACGAGCGGCGGACCAUGUAGCGGUAAAGCGCAGUGAAGGCACGAGACAUGACAGAAAACCGUUUCACCGAACAACAGCUCUGUCACUAUAAACAAGGAUAUCCCCCUGUGUGUAACCAAGGACAACACCAUUUUCCUAUCCAGUCGAAUCAAUCGGAUGAAAGCUAGGGGUAUUGAGUGGGAUGAAAAAAGAUUGACAAUGGGAUAGAUCCCCUCUCCCAACACUGACUGCUCUCUGGUUCGCUGCACACGAGCAGCAGCGAAGCUCAGUCUCUCCUGUUGUUUUCCAGAUGAGCUGCCGUGGCCGGCUCUGUUCCUGCCAGCCGUCUGCUAGAGCAGGGAUCGAUACGGACGCUUCCACAGACAGCAGAGCGCACUGAAGCGCUCAGUGGGUGACUGAGCAGAGCGUGUUCCGCUAAAGAUAACGCUGUGCUGGUUAAAUGCAGCAGGCUGUUUCGCCACCCUUUACAGGCUGCUCCCCCAUGAUAGCCAUUAUAAUAAUGGAUUGACAACUCUCUUAGAUAGAGAUAUUGCAAAAAUACUGUUUGGUUUUGAUGAGUGAUUCGUCUGUUUUCUUGUCAUUUAACAAAGCAAGGCUCAUUUUAAUAUUUCCUUCUCAAAUAUCCAAUAUACUUGUGGAGUAUUUUUUCUUUUGACAUUCUGACAAAUUCAAUGCCUGAGUUUUUAUCGAAUAAUCAGAUUUAUAAGUAAUUUAAGGCUUCAAGUUUUAAGCUUCACGCAUUCUAGACCAGCGUAUUAUAACACUGCUGGCCUUGGAAGAAUUUCAAGUAGUGACUGAGCUUCCACCUGUGGCAGUGAUGAGGUGUUUAGUAUAUCAGCUAUGAUUGUGAUAUCAUGGGUGUUGUUAUGACAGAGAGAGCCUAGCGUGCAUGUUUGUUUCUUGGUGGAGGUGUGACCAAAAGCAGGGGGCCUGGUGUCUUGGGUAGGGGGUGGGCGGUGCUGGUGUGAGAGCAUGUGCUUUGCUGAGAGAGACCUCUGUAUGUUUGUGAGAAGUGGGCAGGUGUAAAAAUGGACUGUGGAUGACUGCAUAUUGCUGAUGGUGGGUUUGCCAUUCACAACCCCCUUUCUUUAAUUGGCCACAUAGUGGAGAACAUGGAACUGAAAGGUGUGAGUGGUGGGUCAUGUGAUUCUGAGUGCAAAGAGGGCAGGACACACCAUGAGGACAAGGACGACAAGGCUUGGAAGUCUUAAUUACCCACAUUCUCUGGCUUUGAGCCUUGAUUUGGGGAAAUAACUUAGCAAUUAGGGGACCUAACUGGUGGCUAUAGCAAAGUCCCUGCUGAUGUCAGCUGUCUGGGACAGUGUUGCUGAAAGACCAGGAGCUUUCAUACAUUUUCCCUCUCUUCUUCGCCAUCACAACCAUGAUCCAUGGUCUGUGGCACAAUGAACCAUUUGAACAAGCAAACCCUUCCCAGAUAACAAAAAAAUCUUUAUA